GCCUAUGGAUCAAGGUGCGUACUCAAAC
rnacentral:piRNA from 1 species